rnacentral:rRNA from 1 species
AUUGAACGCUGGCGGCAGGCCUAACACAUGCAAGUCGAACGAGUGGCGGACGGGUGAGUAAUGUCUGGGAAACUGCCUGAUGGCGGGGGAUAACUACUGGAAACGGUAGCUAAUACUGCAUACCACCGUCUGUGCCCAGAUGGGAUUAGCUAGUAGGUGGGGUAAAGGUUCCCCAAGGCGACGAUCCAUAGCUGAGCUGAGAGGAUGCCCAGCCACACUGGAACUGAUACACGGUCCAGACUCCUACGGGAGGCAGCAGUGGGGAAUAUUGCACAAGGGGCGAAAGACUGAUACAGCCAUGCCGAGUGUAUGAAGAAGGCCUUCGGAUUGUAAAGUACUUACAGCGGGGAGGCGUUACCCGCAGAAGAAGCACCGGCUAACUCCGUGCCAGCAGCCGCGGUAAUUC